UACGUAGGGAGCGAGCGUUGUCCGGAUUUAUUGGGCGUAAAGAGCUUGUAGGUGGUUCAGUAAGUCGGGUGUGAAAACUCUGGGCUCAACCCAGAGAGGCCACCCGAUACUGCUGUGACUAGAGUCUGGUAGGGGAUCGCGGAAUAUCAGGUGUAGCGGUGAAAUGCACAGAUAUCUGAUGGAACACCAGCAGCGAAGGCGGCGAUCUGGGCCAGUACUGACACUGAGAAGCGAAAGCGUGGGGAGCGAACAGG
rnacentral:misc_RNA from 1 species